rnacentral:rRNA from 1 species
GAUGAACGCUGGCGGCGUGCCUAAUACAUGCAAGUCGAGCGAACAGAUGAGGAGCUUGCUCCUCUGACGUUAGCGGCGGACGGGUGAGUAACACGUGGAUAACCUACCUAUAAGACUGGGAUAACUUCGGGAAACCGGAGCUAAUACCGGAUAAUAUAUUGAACCGCAUGGUUCAAUAGAGAAAGACGGUUUUGCUGUCACUUAUAGAUGGAUCCGCGCCGCAUUAGCUAGUUGGUAAGGUAACGGCUUACCAAGGCAACGAUGCGUAGCCGACCUGAGAGGGUGAUCGGCCACACUGGAACUGAGACACGGUCCAGACUCCUACGGGAGGCAGCAGUAGGGAAUCUUCCGCAAUGGGCGAAAGCCUGACGGAGCAACGCCGCGUGAGUGAUGAAGGCCUUCGGAUCGUAAAACUCUGUUAUUAGGGAAGAACAAAUGUGUAAGUAACUAUGCACGUCUUGACGGUACCUAAUCAGAAAGCCACGGCUAACUACGUG